UGGAAUGAAAAGAAGACAAAGAGGUAAGUAAAAGAGACUUCAUUGUACUUUGAAUUAUUAGACCCAUCUCUUUGGGCCACGAGUCACUGUGAAAACAAUAUCUUUAAGAGAAACAAUAACAAGAAAGCUUGAGUUACAAGAAGACGACAUUGGUAGUGAGACUGAGUCAGCACCAGGCCGUAUAAUAAGUAGAUGUGAAAAUGUUUCUUAAAGACAGUAGUCUAGCCAAAUCUGAGGCCACAUGAACUCACAGGACACUCCAGGACCUCAAGAUGGACAGAGACUGAGUAGCCAGGAGUCCAGAAGAGCUGCUCUUGAAGUUCACUGACGGAGAUCCAACCUGCCGCUGAUGUUCCCACCCGGCCCCUUCCUUAGGUUUGUGGCACUGUCCAUCCAGUUACUGGUCUGUCUACAAAUGGUCUGCUGCACUGUCUGUCUGUCUCUUUGCCUCUCACUUAUAAAGACUGAGAUGGUGGUUAGGAUCCACUCAGCUAAUCUGUGAUGGUUUUUAAAUUUUAAAAUCAUUAAUUAUCGGAACAUUUUUAUGACAUAUGCAAAGAUGUUUUUCGCCAAGUGAGACUAUCUACAUAUUUGGUGUUCGUUAUUCAACCCAACAUUUCAAUUAUGAUGAGUUGAUCCUUACUUGGUAUUUUGCUCUGACACAAUCUCUACAAAAGUGAACUAAGGGGGAGAGUGUUUAUUUUGGCUCCAGUUUGGGGAUAUGGUCCAUGGUGGUAGGGAAGACAUCGCAGGACAUGCUGCCGGAACUCCUCACUGUCUCAUAUCUUGGAGGAACAGGAAGCAGAGAAUAGACAAGAAGAGGGACCUGGCUACAGAACGACACCUUUUAAAGGCCUGCACCCAGAGA
rnacentral:lncRNA from 1 species